rnacentral:tRNA from 1 species
AUUUAUGUUAGGAUAGUUCAAUAAAAAAGCCGGAAAGCUCAGUUGGUAG